rnacentral:rRNA from 1 species
ACUCAAAGGAAUUGACGGGGACCCGCACAAGCGGUGGAUGAUGUGGAUUAAUUCGAUGCAACGCGAAAAACCUUACCUACCCUUGACAUGCCAGGAAGGUCUCAGAGAUGAGAUUGUGCCCGAAAGGGAACCUGGACACAGGUGCUGCAUGGCUGUCGUCAGCUCGUGUCGUGAGAUGUUGGGUUAAGUCCCGCAACGAGCGCAACCCUUGUCAUUAAUUGCCAUCAUUUAGUUGGGCACUUUAAUGAGACUGCCGGUGACAAACCGGAGGAAGGUGGGGACGACGUCAAGUCCUCAUGGCCCUUAUGGGUAGGGCUUCACACGUCAUACAAUGGUCAGUUCAGAGGGUUGCCAACCCGCGAGGGGGAGCUAAUCCCACAAAGCUGAUCGUAGUCCGGAUUGCAGUCUGCAACUCGACUGCAUGAAGCAGGAAUCGCUAGUAAUCGCGGAUCAGCAUGUCGCGGUGAAUACGUUCCCGGGUCUUGCACACACCGCCCGU